GCGAGGAAAUUAAGUGACAGUGGGAACUUUGAGAGGUUUUUAGGGGUUUUUGGUCCCUUAUUUACUGUUGGAAAUUUUUUUUUUAUUGUUUUUAUUAUAAAUUGUGUAAAAUAUUCAACAAUUGUCUUAUCUACCUUUUGCAUGAGAAAGUUGAUACUUUUGUUUCAUUCUUUGUCAUUGAAAAAUGUGAAUUUUGGGUAAAAUCAUGAAAAUCCAAGUUUUCCCAUUUGAAGAAUUAUUUUAUUUUUAUUUUUUUUCUUCUCCUUUUGCUGGCGACUGGACGCGUUGUGUUUGACCGAUUUAUCGAUUAUCGAAUUUCGAUUGCAAGUUAUCUAGAAUGUUAUGAAACGCGAACGAUGUUCUUGAUAUCAUAAAUUAUUAAUUUAGAGAAAAUUGGAAAAAAUACGGGAAAAAUUUACAGCUAAAAAUCUGAAUUUUUAAUUUAUGAUAACUAUCAUUAACAUUUGAAAAAAAAUAAUAACGAUCACAUCAAUUGUUUACGUUAUGUCAGACUUGACAAAUGAUAAUUUUUAGUCAAUUAGUGGGAUUUUAGAUUCGACCAGUGACGAUAUACCAUAUAUCAAUAUCAAAAUCCCUUCGAGAUUUUCCAAUUAAUACUCUUUAUUCAUUCCAUCGAUUACAACGAAUCCUAUAAUCGAUAAUCCGUAAAUUUUAGAACAUCACACUCUGAAAAUUUCUCCUUUUUUCUUCUUAAAUCUGAAAAUUUUUCAGUUUCUACUCUAAUUUCAAUGAAUUAUUCUAUAUUAAAUAGAAAUACAAUAAAUUACCCUUAAUUUGACCCCUCAAUCAACCCCUUACCAUCAUUUUUCACCCCCUCAUGAGACACGUUAAUAAGAAAAUUAAGUUUUUUAAUUUUAUUGAAAAAUUCAUUUAUCAUAUGAUAAUCUGUAAGUCUUAAUUUUCCUAAUUUUUAAACACCAAAUCACAAUUUUGAAAUUUAUCACGUGCAACUUAGCUACCGUGUCCGCCUAGUUCAGGGAAAUUAAUGUGUUGAGGCGACGCGUUAGAUUUUUAUCGCAGUUAUCUAGACAUUAUUUAUCAAUUCGAAGGGCAGCUUCGGCAAGCAGAGGACAACUUCUCUCACGUAACAAUAGAAAAAAAUCUAUAAAUGCAAAGUAUCCGUUGAAAUUCAAGAAUAUAAAUUGAUAUUUCAGAUACAAAUGGCUGAAGGAAGCAAUAGAUUUUAGAAACAGCCGAUCUAAUCAGUAGUCACUGGUGACGAUCAGGGCCAGGAAUUACCCACUAAUAUCCAUGGGACAACAUAAAAUAAUCACAAGUGUAACCAAAUCGACGUAAACACUCGUGUACCGACGCGACGAAUCGUGAAUCGAUAAUAUCUAGACACAUUUUGCCUUUAGUUUUCGUGAUUUUCCACUUCAAAACUGAAGAAUCUCAUGUUCACUGCGAAGAAACAAAUUUUUUGUUGUUUAUAAAAUGGUACGAUAGCAAAAAUUGAUUCAGAACAUUGGACUACAAGACCAUACGUUAUUAACUUGAAAAUUUCUUAUUUGAUAUAGAAAAAUUUUUAAAGUGCUACAGUUUAAAUUUGGGAAAAUGCGAUUGUUGGAUUCUCAAUAAAUAAACUUUGAACACAGAUUUAUUCUUAAAAUAAACUGAUAUUUUAAUCGAGGAACAAGUGGUUCGGAACCCACUUAAAAAAUGUAGGUUCACUCGUGUUCUGAUAUGAGGAUGCGAGGAUAAAUAAACACCACAGCCAAAUUGACAGUAUGAAUGUGGAAAAACUUAAAACAGCAAAAAGAGCAAGCCGAUGAAUGAGACAAAACAAAUGCUGGUAUGCAAUUGCGAGGUACAGCAUAGUCGAAAGCUUCACCUAGUGGUGCUUAGAAGGCAACUUUUUUUUUUGUUUUUGUUUAAUCGAGAAACAAUAGUUAUUCAACAACCAAGUCGACAGAGAAUUUUGGAGAUCGGAGUGACGAGCUUGCUAGGUGACAAAUUAGAACUAACCUAAAAUUAAAGGAGUCCUUAGUUUUAUGUGUCUGAGGAUCUGCGAAAAAAAUGGAGGGGAAGGCUUUGAGACAUGUGUCGUAGGGUCUAAAAUGUUUGGGAAUUCUCCAGCUGAUUAGACUUUUUUGGAGGCACUUUCAUUUAAGUAUUUCGGUGACGCGGAGGACACCCCAGGAUUGCGUGUGGCGCCCUGCCUCUUCUGGUGUGAGGUACUACGAUGUCGCUGGGGUCACUAAAGCCCCCAGAACUGAGCCUCUACUUCAGUCAAUCCUCUUUGGGUCCUACGAUGCCGCGGGGGUCACUAAAGCCCCCAGAACUGAGCCUCUACUUCAGUCAAUCCUCUUUGGUUUAUUCCAUCCGAAGUCCAAAAGCGGGGCCGAAACGUGUGAUCACAGAUGAGGUGGUGAGUGUCGUGCGGUUGUCCUCGCAAAAC